AGAAUUCUUAUCGGCACUAAGCAUAAACAAUUGUUAUGGAGAAAGGAAAACUCCAAGGAUAAGAAACUGGGCUAAAUACUGAUAAUAUUUA
rnacentral:ncRNA from 1 species